UACGUAGGGGCUAGCGUUAUCCGGAUUUACUGGGCGUAAAGGGUGCGUAGGCGGUCUUUCAAGUCAGGAGUGAAAGGCUACGGCUCAACCGUAGUAAGCUCUUGAAACUGUAAGACUUGAGUGCAGGAGAGGUAAGUGGAAUUCCUAGUGUAGCGGUGAAAUGCGUAGAUAUUAGGAGGAACACCAGUGGCGAAGGCGACUUACUGGACUGUAACUGACGCUGAGUCACGAAAGCGUGGGUAGCAAACAGGAUUAGAUACCCUGGUAGUCCCUGA
rnacentral:rRNA from 1 species